UUAAGUUCAGCGGGUAUCCCUACCUGAUCCGAGGUCAACCUGAAAAAAUUGGGGGUUGCUGGCAAGCACACACCCGGAUCUCCAAAGCGAGAAGAAUUACUACGCUUGAAGCCGAAUGGCACCGCCACUGAUUUUAAGGCCUGCCGGAAGCCGGCAGGGCCCAAUACCAAGCAGAGCUUGAGGGUUGUAAUGACGCUCGA
rnacentral:misc_RNA from 1 species